CUCCCACGCUCUGGCCUCCUUCUCAGGAGGCAGAAGCCAGGCUUCUCUUUCCUCCAGGUUCACAUCUAGAGAAGGUGGCCGACCCAGCAUAUCUGGAUGCAUGCAGGGAUGAUGGAUGAGAGGGCGGGGUGCUUCCCGGACGGUGCUGGCUGGCUUUGAUUUCUUCAGCUUCUUUUCGGGAUUGGCAGAGCUUUCUGUCUUCACAGCCAGGGAGGUGUCUCCUGUUAAGGGACUUGAGGAACCCAGGAACUUGAAGCUAACAGGUUUCUGAGGCCGGGCCUUCCUGAUCUGGGGAGUAUGGAUGAUGUCAUUGGUAUUGUAGAGGUGGUCAAAGCUGUACUGGCUAUAAGGAAUGCUGGGCAGGCCUCGCUGCCACACCACCUCCUGAGAGAAGGUAAGGUUUGCAGCAGCCAUUUUCAAAUAUUGGCUCUUGCGGUGUAGACGGUACUGUGAGCUGAAGAAGACCAUAGGCACACUGGAGACAGAGGCACACUCCUCCUUGCCUUUCAAUUUUGAGUAGUUUAAAAUCAUGCCCCAUCCCAGUCGUGGGGGCAGUGACUGAUAGAAGCAAUGGGGGAGAAAGGUCUUUCCCUUCUGGGUCCUGGUCAUACCGCGUCCCAGCAAAUGCUUCCUUCCACACUGCCUGGCCUAGAGGAAAGGCCUGGAGAUGAGACCUGGCACCUGUUAAGGGAAUGGGAGGAACUGAUGAGAACUCUAGAGCAGCAGAAAUUGGUAGCCCAUAGCAGUUCAGAAAGAGAAUAACUUGAAAAACAGAUGGAAAGGGGGUGGGGAAGAGCCAUGUGAGUUAGAAGAACAAAAGAAGAAAAUGGUGCAACAUCCUAAAUAUUUCAUGUAUCAGACCCGUGUUUUUGGUUCUUAUACUUGUUCCCAAAGCUCAGACCCUCAUCUCCGUGUGAGGGAUGACUGCUUUUCAGCAGUAUCCCAUGCUUCCAGUUUGUCUUUAAAUGUUGCUUUCUUUCAUUCAAAAGGCUUAUAGUGUAAAGUUCAGACUAUUCAGCAUGGCAUUCAGGGUUCUCCAUGAGUUUGGCCUCAGUUUAUGACUUUGUCCUGGCAUGUAACCUCUGCUUGAGCCAGUCCAGUCUCCUGGCUGUUCUCUGAGUAUCCUCUCUCCACAUAAUGAAGCUUCCUUCUGUGUCCUCUACAUGAAAUGGCCUUUCGUACUUGACACAAAUUCUAUCCAAUUUCCAGGCCCAGCUCAAUUUGUGCUGCUCCAUAACUCUUUCUUGACCUAUCCAGGCCACCAGGUCAUACCCAAGUUUAUAAAUUCCUCCUGGUCUGUACCACUUACUUUAACUGUUAAUCCUAUGAUACCUCGCAUUGUUAAAUAUUUGAGACUCUAAAAAAAAAAAAAAAAAAAA
rnacentral:lncRNA from 1 species